rnacentral:rRNA from 1 species
UACGUAGGGGGCAAGCGUUGUCCGGAUUUAUUGGGCGUAAAGAGCGUGUAGGCGGCUAGGUAGGUCAGCUGUGAAAACUCGAGGCUCAACCUCGAGACGCCGGUUGAAACCCCCUGGCUAGAGUCCGGAAGAGGAGAGUGGAAUUCCCGGUGUAGCGGUGAAAUGCGCAGAUAUCGGGAAGAACACCCGUGGCUAAGGCGGCUCUCUAGUACGGUACUGACGCUGAGACGGCGAAAGCGUGGGGAGCGAACAGG